rnacentral:rRNA from 1 species
UACGAAGGGGGCGAGCGUUGUUCGGAAUUACUGGGCGUAAAGGGCGCGCAGGCGGCUCUGCAAGUCAGAUGUGAAAGCCCCGGGCUUAACCUGGGAAUUGCAUUUGAUACUCUGGAGCUUGAGUACGGGAGAGGAGAGUGGAAUUCCCAGUGUAGAGGUGAAAUUCGUAGAUAUUGGGAAGAACAUCGGUGGCGAAGGCGGCUCUCUGGACCGUAACUGACGCUGAUGCGCGAAAGCGUGGGGAGCAAACGGG